GACGAACGCUGGCGGCGUGCUUAACACAUGCAAGUCGAACGGAAAGGCCCUGCUUUUGUGGGGUGCUCGAGUGGCGAACGGGUGAGUAACACGUGAGUAACCUGCCCUUGACUUUGGGAUAACUUCAGGAAACUGGGGCUAAUACCGGAUAGGAGCUCCUGCUGCAUGGUGGGGGUUGGAAAGUUUCGGCGGUUGGGGAUGGACUCGCGGCUUAUCAGCUUGUUGGUGGGGUAGUGGCUUACCAAGGCUUUGACGGGUAGCCGGCCUGAGAGGGUGACCGGCCACAUAGGGACUGAGAUACGGCCCAGACUCCUACCGGAGGAAGCAGUGGGGAAUAUUGCACAAUGGGCGGAAGCCUGAUGCAGCAACGCCGCGUGCGGGAUGACGGCCUUCGGGUUGUAAACCGCUUUCGCCUGUGACGAAGCGUGAGUGACGGUAAUGGGUAAAGAAGCACCGGCUAACUACGUG
rnacentral:rRNA from 1 species